GAGAAAUGCGAGGAGAACGGCGCCUGCUGGUGGCGUGGGCUUGCCGAUGAAAUGAGCGAUUCACCCAUGCCUCUCAGCACAGGGCCUGUCCCGGGCCGCAUACUGUGCAUUGUCAGCUGCUGUCGGAGCUGGGCUAGCGGUCGCCUUGAGAGCCAGCAGUCCACGGGGGUUGGCGAGCUUCUGGGAGGAAAGGGUGGAACGUGACUGUCAGGUACAGAGCUACAGAGAACCCCAGCAUGAAGGAGUAGGUGGCAGGGGAGAAGGACUCAACAGAGAUGGAGAAAGACUAAGCCCAAAGGUGAUCAACAACAAGAGUGAAGGAGGAAGUGGUCAGCUGUGGCUGGGGCAAAACAAGCCCAGUAAGUUACAUUGGCCUGUGUUUGGUCAUCCAGGGACAAAGUGACCUUUUUAGUGCCUGUAGGCCCAGCGCGUUGGGGAAGAAUUUAGAAUGCAGUGGGGAUAGGUGUGAGAGGAGCGGGGGAAGUGAAGAUUGAGUUGAGACCACUGGCUGGAGAACUUGACCGGGAAGGGAGGGCAGAGAGCAGCAUGGGGUGACGGGAGGGAAUGGAUCCAACGAGCGUCUUAGGAUGAGGGAGUUGUGAGCACUCAACACCAUUACAAAGAAGGGAUCGGGGAUUGAUAGACUGACAGAUGCAUGCACAGAGGCAGGCAGGGAUGAAUGGACAGAUGCAUGCACAGAGGCAGGGAUGGAUGGAUGGACAGAUGCAUGCACAGAGGCAGGGAUGGAUGGAUGGACAGAUGCAUGCACAGAGGCGGGGAUGGAUGGACAGAUGCAUGCACAGAGGCAGGGAUGGAUGGACGGACAGAUGCAUGCACAGAGGUGGGGAUGAAUGGACAGAUGCAUGCACAGAGGCGGGGAUGAAUGGACAGAUGCAUGCACAGAGGCGGGGAUGAAUGGACAGAUGCAUGCACAGAGGCGGGGAUGGAUGGACAGAUGCAUGCACAGAGGCGGGGAUGGAUGGACGGACGGAUGCAUGCCCAGAGGCAGAGAUGGAUGGGUGGGUAGAUUGGACGGACAGAUGAUGGUAGGUUGUUCUUGUCCUGGAGGAGGUGAUCCAGGCUGAGUCCUCACACUGGGCAG
rnacentral:lncRNA from 1 species